rnacentral:rRNA from 1 species
AGUCUUGCAAUUGGAUUGAGAACAAUGUACAACUCUUAUCGAUAAGCCAUUGGAGGGCAAGUCUGGUGCCAGCAGCCGCGGUAAUUCCAGCUCCAAUAGCGUAUAUUAACGUUGUUGCAGUUAAAAAGCUCGUAGUUGAAGUGUGGGUGAUCGCUGUUGUGAGACUUCGGUCUCUCGACAGUAAGUCACCCCCUUCCAGUAUCCAGUAGUGGGUAUUCAGUUACUUACUACUGUGUGUUGGUCCUUUACUGUGAGAAAAUUAGAGUGUUCAAAGCAGGCGUUUGCUUGAAUAGAUUAGCAUGGAAUAAUAAUUGAAGGCUUUCGUGUUCGAUUUGAUUGGUUUGUUCAUGGAAGCAAGGUUAAAAGGAACAGUUGGGG